rnacentral:lncRNA from 10 species
CCCGCGCGGGGCGCACUUCCGCGGCCGCUCUAGGAAGGGAGCGAAAGGGGCUUUCAACUCGGUAGUGUUUCCGCGCGUCUACGUGAGAGGAAGGUUGAUGGCUUUCAGGCCCGCUGAACAAUUGCUCUUGAAGUCCUGAGCCACCAUGGAAGAAGUCUGCCAACCCUGCUUUCCAGUGACUGAGUUGCAAGAAUCCUUCAAGAUGCCAAAAAGAUGACCCCAAAGUGAGCUUUGUGUGUCUCCGAGACCACAUAAAGAAGCUCUGAGACCACAUGGAGAAGAUCAGCCCGGCUAAGCCCACUUUUCUGGCUGUCCCUGCCAAGGCACUUGGCAUGGCAGUGAAGCUGUCUUGGAUUUUCCAGACAAAUUAUACUGCCAGAUGAAUACCAGCAUGUGAUCUUAGUUGACACCACAUGAAACAGAAGAAUUUCUCAGCUAAGUCCUCCCCAAAUUCCUGGCCCAAAACAUGAUGGUGUGUUUUUGUCCACUGUUUUGGAGUAACUAUUUAUGCAGCAAUAGAUAACAAGAUCAGAUGUUUACCAGAUUGUAACAGUUUGAUUAGACUAUUUCCUAAGAAUAUUAACUUUCCUUCGUUUCAAUGACAUAGUCAACAUGCAAUUUUCAAUUUGUAGUUGAUAUUUAAAUUUCCAGUUAGGAAAAAGCUUGAUGUUGAGGACUUGCACUAAAUUUUAGGCCAGGUAUAGCUCCAAUUUUUAUGGAAAUUAUUAUGUAUACAGUAUAAGGUAAUUUUUUAUAGGCUAUAGUUAACAAUUUCUUUUUUAUCUUUUUUUAUUAUUUAUUUAUUUUUUAUUAUACUUUAAGUUCUAGGGUACAUGUGCACAACGUGCAGGUUUGUUACAUAUGUAUACAUGUGCCAUGUUGGUUUGCUGCACCCACUAAUUCAUCAUUUACAUUAGGUAUUUCUCCUAAUGCUUUCCCCUAUCCCCCCACCCCACGACAGGCCCCGGUGUGUGAUGUACCCCGCCCUGUGUCCAAGUGUUCUCGUUGUUCAGUUCCCACCUAUGAGUGAGAACAUGUGGUGUUUGAUUUUCUGUCCUUGCCAUAGUUUGCUCAGAAUGAUGGUUUCCUGCUUCAUCCA